AAAAGAACUGGAUGUUUUUGGUAUUGAUUGUGGUUAUUAGCUGUUGUUAAUCACCUCUUAAAUUAUACAUUAUUUUAGGCAUUACUUGACCUAUAAAGUUAAAUGAGAGAUGAAAAAUUGAAUCAUUGAUUGUAAACUUGAACCGAAAACAUUUAUAUCGUUCGCCUUUUCAGGCCUGAAUGUCAAAGUCUUUUCUCUGAAUUAAAACAAUAGAUUUUUCAGAAACAGUAAUAAAACCUGGGGCCUCUCCUUUCUACUAUGAAGAUGUCUAUUGCCUAUCGCGUGCAAGAUUAAUUAAAGAGAAUGCGUUCUUAAAAUUAGGUGAAUAUUAAAUGAUAGCAUAAGGUUUCAUCCAGCAGCCAGCAUCCUUACAUCAUCAUUGCAAGUACCCUGUGGUUUUAUGUUGCUAAGCACUCUAAUCUAGAGUGGCCUAUUACAAAGAUAUUAAGGGUAGGGGAAACCAUCUGCCACACAAUCUAUCCAUAAGGGUCAGAAAUAAAUAAUUUAAAAGUCAUUUAUAUAUCUUAAAAACCACUUUUUUUUUUCCCCCCUGUAAUUACUGGACACCAGAUUGUAGAAUGCAGCUGUUAUGAAAAUGCCACUGUUUUUGUAAACAGCCUGUGAUCCGUUGCUACUUCAGGGAAGGUUAUAGGAUGGGGUUGUCGUACCUGUUCCUGCUGAGGUCAGGAGGAAGAGUCACGCUGAAACAAUUGCAAAUGAGAUUGGACUCCAAUUAGUGCAUCUUACACCAAAGGAUAAUGCAUUCAUUGUAUUUUUUUUUCCUCCCUCUGUUUUAGGCGUUUAUUAACACCGCGAAGUCCAUCUACGAGAAAAUCCAGGAAGGAGUUUUUGACAUUAAUAAUGAGGCAAACGGCAUCAAAAUUGGCCCUCAACAUGCUGCUACCAACGCAACGCUCGCAGGCAAUCAGGGAGGACAACAAGCUGGAGGAGGCUGCUGUUGAGCCUGUUUUUACUUUCUAGCUGCCUGGCUGGGGGCUACUAACUUGUUUGUUCCCCCUCCCCUGCCCUGCCCUGCCCUGCCCCGCUCGCCUCCACUUCGAUCCAACCGAGACAUGAAACUCGUCAAGUCGGUUUCCUGUUGCAGAAGAAGACUUUAUCCUUCAAAUUCUUGUAUAACUUUGAAUAAAUGGUUAAUGUUCACUUCAAGACAGAUUUUGGAGAUUGUAUUCAUAUCUAUUUACAUUUGAUUUCUAGGUCAAUUGAUGUGAUUAUUUUUGUUAAAUGUUGUCUUGUGCCCUUGACUCCCAACUGAAUUGUAUGAAACACUACAAAGUCAUCUGAGUAUUUUAAUCAGUUUGUGUAGUUAGGUUUCCCAGCUCCCGCCGUUACCUACUGUUUAAUAUUGUAGAGCUGUCCUCAAGUUUUUUUGUCAAUUUUCAAGGCUAUAAAGAGAAGCGGAAGGACUCUUUUAAUUCUGUAUUUAUCACUUUCUGUAUAUAUAGUUUAAUAACCUGCUUGGGUGUACUUGCCAAGCUAGAAUUCUUUAAUGCAUUUGCAUAAAUUCUAUACUACUUAGAGCUUGAAAACUACAGAAGCAUUACUAGAAAUUGCUUGGACGCUAAAUUUUAAGCCUUUUUGACAUUGUUAGCAUGUUCAUCCUCCCCUCUCAUUAUCCUGAAGUCCAAGAAAAAAAAAAACAAAAAAUGCUUAAUGUAUAUUACUAGAGGCUACAUACGUGCUAUCUAUUUUAAUGCCAAAUGUUUGCUGUUUGUCCACAAUUUCCACAGCACCUCUUCAGAAAUGGAUUAGCUGUUUGCCUUAACGAAUACUAGAGGUAAAAACAGAGUACGAAGGGAAAGUAGAGGAGGAGUUGAUCAAUUGAAAAUGGCACAUUAUAAAAACAUUAAUCUUUUCUUAAUGGUUUUUUUUUUUCCUUGUUUACCACUUGAUUUCUAGGUAUAUUUUUCAUGCAAGGACAGUUUUUCAACCUAAAUGUACAGUGGUUGUGUAAAGUUUUCUUUUAGUGACAACUUGUAAUCCUAAAUAUAUGGUAAGCAUCUUGUCUAUUGUGAAGAGGGUGUGAAAAUAAAAUCUGCCAGUUUGGAAAUCUUGAUGAAAAUCAAAACUAAGAAAUGCUUUGGUACUUAUUACACUUGGUGGGGGUCGCGGGGGGAGGGAGGGAGGAUGUUUUGCCUCAAGUUGAAAGGGUUGCAACAGCGCAAAACGAACCCCCGUGUUUGUUUAUUUGUUAAAGUACAGAAUAUUCAUGUCACUUUUCCUCCAAAUGAGGAAAAAAACCUGAGUUUCCACCUCAUCCUAUUUAUAGAAAUUGCAGAUAAAAGGGUGACUCU